rnacentral:rRNA from 1 species
AUUGAACGCUGGCGGCAUGCCUUACACAUGCAAGUCGAACGGCAGCACGGACUUCGGUCUGGUGGCGAGUGGCGAACGGGUGAGUAAUGUAUCGGAACGUACCCUUCAGUGGGGGAUAACUAUCCGAAAGGAUAGCUAAUACCGCAUAUUCUCUGAGGAGGAAAGCGGGGGAUCGCAAGACCUCGCGCUGAUGGAGCGGCCGAUAUCAGAUUAGCUAGUUGGUGGGGUAAAGGCCUACCAAGGCGACGAUCUGUAGCGGGUCUGAGAGGAUGAUCCGCCACACUGGGACUGAGACACGGCCCAGACUCCUACGGGAGGCAGCAGUGGGGAAUUUUGGACAAUGGGGGCAACCCUGAUCCAGCCAUGCCGCGUGAGUGAAGAAGGCCUUCGGGUUGUGAAGCUCUUUCGGCCGGGAAGAAAUCGCGUGAGUUAAUACCUUGCGUGGAUGACGGUACCGGAAUAAGAAGCACCGGCUAACUACGUGCCAGCCGCCGCCGUAAAAC